GACAAGGAUGAUAAGAAUAGAACUCCACGUUACUGGUCAAGAUGACAAGCUAAUCCAUUGAGUUUGAUAUAGUUCAAUGGUCAUGUUCAAUGCGAGCGUCUUUGAUCAUUAUCUGGUAUAAAUACCAACAGCCUUCACUGGAUCUGCAGACUUGUCUCACAGAAUUUCGCCAUUCUUCAACACGAUUCUGCAAUUAUACACAUUUCAAUCCACCAUGAACAUUGACUUUGAGCACCCGUCAAUGUACGGUGCAGUACGCUACAGGUGCGUAUGUCGGACCAAAGCCAUAGGACAAGAACGAUGUAAGAGAAAAAGUCGCCAUGCCACAAAAACGUGUUGGCAACACAAGGCCGAGCUGACGUACGAAGAGCUGGUCAACCUGUACCUGAACAGGAUACCGCAAUGUACAUCCAUCACAAGGAAAGGUUCGAGAUGUAGCAGAGAUUCCCGAUUCGCGGGCGACGCCCC